AAAGUUACUUACUUUUUUCCCUUAACAUUCCCUUUAAACGGGGUGUAAUUUUCCGUUUCUCCACUAGUGGCAGUAGAUAUUUUAGACGUUUUUUUUUAAUUUGUUCGGAGUGAUCAUCCCGUCAUUGUAUCGAUCUUUGACGCUUUCCUCAUGAGCAAGAAGCAGCGAGUGAGAGGGAGAAAAAAGACCCGAGCGAGUUAGUGGGAAGAAGAUAAAUCUGGAGAAAACCAAGGGUGGAGUUUGAAAAGUGUGGAAGAGUUCGUUAUCUCGACUGGUUUUUUUGUUGGAGUUCACCUGGAUCCCGGCCUUCAUCUUUUCAUCUCAUCUACCAUCAUCAUCCCAUCAUCUACCAUCACCAUCCCAUCAUCUUCUCAUCUCUCAUCACCACCUUCUGGAAAUCUCGGUUUGGACAUUAAGUUGGUUUCUAUAAAUUAUUUUGAGUGCACUCAAGGGUUUUAUUAUUAUUUUUUUUCCUUUCAAAAAAGAAUUGAACUUGAGUACCUGUAGAAAAACUUUUAUCUGAGAUCUCAGUUUUAUUUGAACAUUUUUUAGGUCAGUGGCCACUUGUUUUUUCUUUUGGGUCCAAAUUUUACAUACUUGGAAAUAAUUUUCAUUUACACUGAGUUUUUGCAAACUGUACUUGAUAUUUUUUUUUGUCAUAAUCUUAAAUAAUAAUUCAAUUUUAUUCCAA